rnacentral:rRNA from 1 species
GAUGAACGCUGGCGGCGUGCCUAAUACAUGCAAGUCGAGCGAACAGACGAGGAGCUUGCUCCUCUGACGUUAGCGGCGGACGGGUGAGUAACACGUGGAUAACCUACCUAUAAGACUGGGAUAACUUCGGGAAACCGGAGCUAAUACCGGAUAAUAUAUUGAACCGCAUGGUUCAAUAGUGAAAGACGGUUUUGCUGUCACUUAUAGAUGGAUCCGCGCCGCAUUAGCUAGUUGGUAAGGUAACGGCUUACCAAGGCGACGAUGCGUAGCCGACCUGAGAGGGUGAGCGGCCACACUGGAACUGAGACACGGUCCAGACUCCUACGGGAGGCAGCAGUAGGGAAUCUUCCGCAAUGGGCGAAAGCCUGACGGAGCAACGCCGCGGGAGUGAUGAAGGUCUUCGGAUCGUAAAACUCUGUUAUUAGGGAAGAACAAAUGUGUAAGUAACUAUGCACGUCUGGACGGUACCUAAUCAGAAAGCCACGGCUAACUACGU